UACGUAGGGGGCAAGCGUUGUCCGGAAUUAUUGGGCGUAAAGAGCGUGUAGGCGGCCAGAUAAGUCCGCUGUGAAAUCUCGAGGCUCAACUUCGAGCUGUCGGUGGAAACUAUCUGGCUAGAGUCCGGAAGAGGAGAAUGGAAUUCCUGGUGUAGCGGUGAAAUGCGCAGAUAUCAGGAAGAACACCCGUGGCGAAGGCGGUUCUCUGGGCCGAUAUUGACGCUGAGGAGCGAAAGCGUGGGGAGCGAACAGG
rnacentral:rRNA from 1 species